rnacentral:rRNA from 1 species
CCUACGGGAGGCAGCAGUGAGGAAUAUUGGUCAAUGGCCGCAAGGCUGAACCAGCCAAGUCGCGUGAGGGAUGACGGUCCUAUGGAUUGUAAACCUCUUUUGUCAGGGAGCAAAGGGCUCCACGUGUGGCGUUUUGCGAGUAACUUAAGAAAAAGCAUCGGCUAACUCCGUUCCCGCAGCCGCGGUAAUACGGAGGCGGCGAGCGUUUUCCGGAUUUCUUGGGUUUUACGGGUUCGUAGGCGGAAUGUCAAGUCAGCGGUAAAAUUUCGGGGCUCAACCCCGUCCUGCCGUUGAAACGGGCGUUCUUGAGUGGACGAGAAGUAUGCGGAAUGCGUGGUGUAGCGGUGAAAUGCAGAGAUAUCACGCAGAACUCCGAUUGCGAAGGCAGCAUACCGGCGCCCAACUGACGCUGAUGCACGAAAGCGUGGGUAUCGAACAGGAUUAGAUACCCGAGUAGUC